UGAAAAGGACCCCGGGAGGGGAGUGAAAGAGAACCUGAAACCUUGUGCUUACAAACAGUCAAAGGACGCAAGUCUGAUGGCGUACUUUUUGUAGAACGGUCCGGCGAGUUACUAAUGCCAGCGAGGUUAAGUGGUCAGAAGCCACGGAGCCGAAGGGAAACCAAGUCUGAAUAGGGCGUAGAGUUGGUAUUAGUAGACCCGAAACCGGGUGACCUAUCCAUGUCCAGGUUGAAGGAACCGUAAAAGGUUUUGGAGGACCGAACACACAUGUGUUGAAAAACGUGGUGAUGAGGUGUGGAUAGCGGAGAAAUUCCAAUCGAACUCGGAGAUAGCUGGUUCUCCUCGAAAUAGCUUUAGGGCUAGCCUCGAGCUGGAGUCUAACGGAGGUAAAGCACUGAACUGACGCGGGGCCCAAAAAGGUUACCAACUCAUAUCAAACUAAGAAUGCCGUCAAGAUACCCUCGGGAGUCAGUCUGCGUGAGAUAAGUCGCGUGGACAAAAGGGAAAGAGCCCAGACCGACAGCUAAGGUCCCAAAGUACGUGUUAAGUGGAAAAGGAUGUGGGAUUUCAUAGACAACUAGGAUGUUGGCUUAGAAGCAGCCAUACAUUUAAAGAGUGCGUAAUAGCUCACUAGUCGAGAAAACCUGCGCCGAAAAUGUAACGGGGCUAAAACACGACACCGAAGCUACGGAUUUCCUACAAGGUAGGAAGUGGUAGAGGAGCAUCCUGCAAGGACGAAGCCAAAGUGAGAGCGAUGGUGGACGAAACAGGAGAGAGAAUGCCGGAAUGAGUAGCGAGAUACAUGUGAGAAACAUGUAGGCCGAAUAUCUAAGGAUUCCUGGGUAAAGCUAAUCUUCCCAGGGUUAGUCGGGGCCUAAGGCGAGGACGAAAGUCGUAGUCGAUGGAUAACAGGUUGAUAUUCCUGUACUACACAUAAUCAGAACUGUGGGGACGCAGGAGGAUAGGGAAACCGGGGAAUGGAAAGACCCGGUCAAGCGUAAAGCUGUGGGAGAUAGGCAAAUCCGUCUCCUGUAAGUGAAACGUGAUGAGGACUGAAAAAAAGUAAGGAAGUUUCCGAAUCCACACUGCCGAGAAAAGCCGCUAUUGCGUUAUGUGUACCCGUACCGUAAACCGACACAGGUAGAUGAGGAGAAAAUCCACAGGCCGACGGGAGAAGUGUUGUUAAGGAACUCGGCAAAAUGACCCCGUAACUUCGGGAUAAGGGGAGCCUCGCAAGAGGCCGCAGAAAAGAGGCACAAGCAACUGUUUAGCAAAAACACAGGUCUAUGCGAAACCGUAAGGUGAAGUAUAUGGGCUGACGCCUGCCCGGUGCUGGAAGGUUAAGAGGAGAGGUUAGCGUAAGCGAAGCUUUGAAUUUAAGCCCCAGUAAACGGCGGCCGUAACUAUAACGGUCCUAAGGUAGCGAAAUUCCUUGUCAGGUAAGUUCUGACCCGCACGAAAGGCGUAAUGAUUUGUGCACUGUCUCGACAACACGCCCGGUGAAAUUGAAGAACCAGUGAAGAUACUGGUUACCCGCAACAGGACGGAAAGACCCCAUGGAGCUUUACUGCAGCCUGAUACUGGGAUUCGAUGAUAUAUGUACAGGAUAGGUGGGAGGCUAAGAAGCGAGAACGCUAGUUUUCGUGGAGCCGCCGGUGGGAUACCACUCUUAUGUCAUUGAAUUUCUAACCUGCAUCCGUAAUCCGGGUGAGGGACAAUGUCAGGCGGGCAGUUUGACUGGGGCGGUCGCCUCCUAAAAGGUAACGGAGGCGCUCGAAGGUCACCUCAGAAUGAUUGGAAACCAUUCAAAGAGUGUAAAGGCAAAAGGUGGCUUGACUGCGAGAGCGACGGCUCGAGCAGGUACGAAAGUAGGACUUAGUGAUCCGGUGGUAAUAAGUGGGAAUGCCAUCGCUCAACGGAUAAAAGCUACCCUGGGGAUAACAGGCUUAUCACUCCCAAGAGUUCACAUCGACGGAGUGGUUUGGCACCUCGAUGUCGGCUCAUCGCAUCCUGGGGCUGUAGCAGGUCCCAAGGGUUGGGCUGUUCGCCCAUUAAAGCGGUACGCGAGCUGGGUUCAGAACGUCGUGAGACAGUUCGGUCCCUAUCCGUUGUGGGCGCAGGAAAUUUGAGAGGAGCUGUCCUUAGUACGAGAGGACCGGGAUGGACGUACCUCUGGUGUACCGGUUGCAGACCAACUGCACAGCCGGGUAGCUAUGUAUGGAACGGAUAAACGCUGAAGGCAUCUAAGCGUGAAGCCGCCCUCAAGAUAAGAUUUCCCAUUCU
rnacentral:rRNA from 1 species